AUGGGGAAAGAAAAAAAAAACAAAUCAGCAGGUGUUGGUCAUAAAAGUUGUUGGAAGAAGAAGUCCAUAUUCUUUGAUCUUGAGUAUUGGAAGUACUUGCUUAUCCGACACAUAUUGGAUGUUAUGCACAUUGAGAAGAAUGUGUGUGAGAGUAUCAUUGGUAGGUUGCUUAACAUUCCGGGCAAAACAAAGGAUGGAAUUAAUGCUCGUCUUGAUCUUGUGGAGAAGGGUUUACGACAAGAGUUGGCACCACAGAUUGGAGAGAAGCGGACAUACUUGUCGCCAGCAUGCUAUACACUAUCAAAUGUGGAGAAAAGAAGACUUUGCACAACACUGUCAGAGCUCAAGGUCCCCGAAGGGUAUUCUUCAAAUUUAAGAAAUUGCGUCAAUACGGAUGAUUUGAAACUCUAUGGCAUGAAGUCACAUGAUUGUCACGUACUGAUGCAACAGUUAUUGCCUGUGGCAAUACGUUCUGUGUUGCCUAAAGAAGUGAGAUAUGCCAUUACAAGAUUAUGCUUCUUUUUCAAUGCUAUCUGUGACAAGGUUGUUGAUGUGGCAAAGUUGGACAAAAUUCAAUCCAAUAUAGUAAUCACAUUGUGUUUGCUUGAAAAGUACUUUCCACCAUCCUUUUUUGAUAUCAUGAUUCAUUUGACAGUGCAUCUUGUUAGAGAAGUACGACUAUGUGGACCUGUUCAUUUUCGAUGGAUGUACCCAUUUGAGAGGUUCAUGAAAGUUUUAAAGGGCUGUGUUCGUAAUCGUAAUUGUCUAGAGGGUUGUAUGGCUGAAAGUUACAUUGCAGCAGAAGCAGUUGAGUUUUGCGCAGAUAACUUAUCUAGAGUCGAUCCAAUUGGAGUUCCUAUUGCUAGGAACAUGACUUCUGAUGGUUUGGAAAUCGAAAGGCCCUUACCAGGAGGUUAUGUUGUUGCCGUCGAUCGUGAAGAAUUGGAACAAGCACAUCGUUAUGUGUUAUAAAACAACAGUGAAGUUGAACCUUACAUUGUGGAGCAUAUGGCUUGGUUGAAGGUACAAUAUCCUCACCAAGCAAAAAGUCCAAAAUGGUUACAAGUUGAACACAAUAGAACAUUCAUAGAUUGGAUACAUUAUAAGGUUGCAGAUGAAUUAAACCUCAAGCGUAAUAUAUCCAACACCCUUGAGUGGAUUGCACAAGGACCUCGCCUAGAUGUGAUUAAAAGUCCAGGCUACAUCAUAAACGACACCCGUUAUCACACAAAAGAUCGUGAUAAUUCGCGAGUCACCCAAAAUAGUGGAGUUAGCUUGGUGGCAACGGCAAUGCAAGUUACUGGCUAUAAGGAUAAGAAUCCUGUGUUUGGAGAGAUGAAUUUUUAUGGGAUUAUUAGUGAGAUAUGGCAACUUGAUUAUCAUAUGUUCCAAAUUCCAAUAUUUAAGUGUGACUGGGUUGACAACAAGGGUAUUAAAGUUGAUGAGCUUGGGUUCACACUUGUUGAGCUUGGAAGGAUAGGCCACAAAUCAGAUUCUUUCAUUUUGGCUUCCCAAGCUAAACAAGUUUUCUAUGUGAAAGAUCAACUUGAUUCGAGAUGGUCAGUUGUCCUAGAACCACCUCAGCAUCGAUAUCCAUGUAAUGGGGAUGAUGAGCUCAAUGAUUGUUCUUUUGAGCAGCAUGGAUUUGACAAAGUUAUGCCAGAAGUUGAACCUUCUGACGUAGCUGAUGAAUCUGAGCUAUCUUACGCUAGAGGAGAUUGUGAGGGAACUAGGAUCGACAAUGAAGGAUAAAUUACAUGUCUCUAGUUUCUAAUGUUUUUUUUAAUGCCAGAUACAAUAUCUAGUCUAAGUUUUUAGCUUGUUCUAAGUUUC